rnacentral:rRNA from 1 species
AUGGAGGACUUUCGCAACGACGUGUGCCUUGUUUAUGACCCCACCGUGUCGCCGCACUACGAUGUGCUUCUUCUUCCUUGUGUCUCCUACGGUCUUCUUGAUUGCGCAACAACAAUAUUCACGGAGGAAUCGGAGUGGCCGCCCUUGGCCUACCCAAUACAAGUCUUCUCUUCAAGGACAUGGAGAUGGGAGGAGAGGUCGUUGGCCCGGAGAGGAGAGGCUGCAGGGACCAUCGCUGACAUGGAUCCAUAUAGGGAUUAUGAACACCGUUAUGCCGUCUACUGGAAAGGAGCGAUCUAUGUGCAUUGUCAAAAUGACUCCAUUUUACGCAUAACCUUAAUGGAUGGUUCGUAUGAAGUGAUUAAAUCGCCAACAGGAAGUAAAAUGGAAGAUUCCACCAAUCUUUAUCUAGGGAAAUCAAAGAAGGGGGUGUACUGCACUUUGAUUUAUAAUGAUACCUGGGGGGGACUUCAGAUUUGGUUGCUUACUGAAUCAUGUGGUAAGUGGGAGUGGGUGCUAAAGAAUGGCAUCAACUUCGCGGCAGCGGUGGCAAAAUUUUCUUGGUUUUCUCGUGAUGAAAACCAAGGACCGUGGAUCCUACAGAAAGGUGAUUGUGAUGAAAAUGUUAAGGAAGCACCAGUGCAAGAUAACUAUGAAUGGGACUUCGACAAUGGUAUUAUCCUUGUGGCUGAAGAUAAGGUUGAAUCUGACGAUAUGAAUUUGGGAGUGCUUUAUUUCCUUGGAUUUCAUCCAUACAAAGAGAUUGUCUUCCUACGAACACAAGCGAGGGUAGUUGCUUAUGAUUUCAGUAGAUUGAAAGUACAAGACUUGGGCCAGUUACGUGUACAGUGUGUAGGAAGUGUUUUCCCCUACACACCAUGUUGGACGGGAGAUAUAUCUGAAAAGAAUUAA